rnacentral:rRNA from 1 species
UACGAGAGGGGCGAGCGUUAUUCGGAAUUACUGGGCGUAAAGCGUGCGCAGGCGGCUUUGCAAGACAGAUGUGAAAUCCCCGGGCUCAACCUGGGAACUGCAUUUGUGACUGCAAGGCUAGAGUACGGCAGAGGGGGAUGGAAUUCCGCGUGUAGCAGUGAAAUGCGUAGAUAUGCGGAGGAACACCGAUGGCGAAGGCAAUCCCCUGGGCCUGUACUGACGCUCAUGCACGAAAGCGUGGGGAGCAAACAGG